UACGUAGGGCGCAAGCGUUGUCCGGAAUUAUUGGGCGUAAAGAGCUCGUAGGCGGUCUGUUACGUCUGCUGUGAAAACCCAGGGCUUAACCCUGGGCUUGCAGUGGAUACGGGCAGACUAGAGGCAGGUAGGGGAGAAUGGAAUUCCCGGUGUAGCGGUGAAAUGCGCAGAUAUCGGGAGGAACACCGGUGGCGAAGGCGGGUCUCUGGGCAGUUCCUGACGCUGAGGCGCGAAAGCGUGGGGAGCAAACGGG
rnacentral:rRNA from 1 species